rnacentral:lncRNA from 1 species
GCAAUUCUCCUGCCUCAGCCUCCUGAGUAGCUGGGACCACAGAUCCUUUACCUGGGCUCCAGACUUCGACUACACAAAGGCAGAGCAGGGAUAUAUGGAGAUUAUAAAUGCUCGCUGGAUGAUACCAGGAGACUGUGAAGUGGUGAGAUGGUGAAGCCACAAGUUUAAAGCAGUGUGAUUCCUCAGUCACCUCUUUGAAGUGAACAACUUAAAUCUCAUCAGACUGGGAUGUGAGCAAGAAUAAGUCUUGAUUCUAUCAAGCCAUUAAGAUCUUGAAGUUGUUUGUUUACUUCUGAAAUAUGUUUAAGGAUUUUAGUUGGCAGUAAAUUUACAUGGAUCAACUAGAAAGAUGCUUUCUAUCCUUGACUUCUCAGCAAUAUUUAACUACAAGCCCCCUUUCCUAAUAGAAACAUUCAAUUCCUUUUGCUUCUGUGGCCCAGCAUCCUCCAGGUUUUCCUCCUGUCCUGCUAGCUGCUCCUUUCUCUGCCUUUCUUUGUGUCCUCUUCCAAAGGACUAUUAAUUGUUGAGUUUCUUUUGGUUCAGUCUUCUGGCCUUUCCUCUUUUCAUUUUUUUUUUCAUGUGAUUUGGAUUACCAUCUAUAUGCGAGAAGACUCGGAAAUUUAUAUCACUACCUUAAAUGUUCUUCUGCACUCCACACACAUAAUCCAACUUCCUAAUUGAUAUUUUCUCAUGGACUUUUCAAUGACUCUUCAUACAAACCUGCACUCAGAAUUUUUCUUUCCAAAUCUGGCCCUCUUCAAUGUUUCCCACCUCAGGGAAUGGCACACCACCUAUCCAGUCACAUGAGACAGAAACCAAAAGUCCAGCAAUCCUUCCUCACCCCUGUCCACUCUUCUCCCACCUUAGCUGAUCCAUUACCAAGUCUUAUCAAUUUCCCUCCUAAAUAUUUAUCAAAUGCAUUCUCUCCCUGCUGGCUCCACCAACGAUCCUGCCAUUAUCUCUUACCCAAGCUCCUGCAAUAGCCUUUUUACUAAUCUGUGUGCAUAUGCUCUGGUGUCUCUUCAAUCCUGAUCCACUCUUCAUAGUAAUAUUUAAAAAUUAAAAACUUGUCUCUUUCCUAUUUAAAGUUCCUCAAUAGUUUUUCCAUUUGUUGUGUUAGGCUAAUGAUAAAACAUGAUUUUGACGAUCCUGCACAUUCUGGCGCCUUCUACCUCUCUGGCUCACCUCACCUCCUGCAGACUCCAUGGUUCUUUGCUCCAUUCAUACUGGACUUCCUUCCAUCCCUCAAACUUUCAUCAGGUUUUCUCCUGUGACUCCCACUGCACAUGUCCUGACACACUUCUUUCUCUUCUUAACCUAUCAAGUCUACCUUUCCUUCAGCUUCUGCUCAAGAAAGAAGCCAUUUUGAUCUCCUGAUUAGUUCAAAUCUUCCUAUAACAGGUUUUCAUAAGACUGUAUACUUUUUAUUAGGACUUGUCAUGGGUGCAAUUUUACAUCUAUUUGUGUGAUUACUUGAUACCUCUCAGUAUCCUCCACUAAACAAUAAGCUCUAAGGAAGUAGGGACAUGUUGUCUUUUGUUCGUUUUUAUCUCCAGCCUCUAAUACAGUGCCGGACAUAGAUGAGGCUCUUUCAGUGAGUAUUUGCCAAAGGAAGAAUGGUAGGAAGAUGGGAAAGAAGGGAGGAAAUAAAAUAGAAGAAGAUGAGUCCAUAUCUUCUCUAUAUUUGCCAAUUUGCACCUGGAGCAUUGGAUUAAGUUCUGGGUGCCAUAUUUUGAGAUAAAAACAAGCUGGAAUAUAUUCAGAAGAAAGGAAUCAGAAAGAUCAGGAGAGGCAAAGUUGGGAUUGAUGCAUCAAAUAGGUAAUUGGAUGCUUUUUUCAAUUUCUUCCAACCAAAAGUUUCUA